AGAAGUAUCAAUGAGUAUAUACGUGUAUGUAUACGCUUAUAUACUGGUACGAAUACUGUAGCUUUGAUGAUCCUUAGUGUUGUUUUAUACACUGUAGCCUGUAUGGUAAUAGUUUCCGGUAACAUCAAUAACGUAUUUUGGACUGUUCAACGACCCCCGAUCAUCAUUGGAGGAAAUAAUACAUUACUCUGCGAUACGGCAUCGAUCCAGGAAACUAAAGUCACGUGGAUGAAAAAAUCUGACGUCAUUGUUCACCAUGGUCUUGUAUUUUAUCCAUCAAAGUACAAAGCAUAUUCAUCCACAAAUGGUUCUUUUCUUAAAAUAAUGAACACAGGAGUCGACGAUAUCAACGUAUCGUACACCUGCAUAUCAGAUGUAUUUUCCUUCGACGCUAUACUGAAGUUGAACGAAUCAAACUAUGUGGUUUUGCCAAAUCAAGAUAGAACAAAUAUUACAUGGAGUUUAAUGGAUACGAUUGGAGUUACUAUUUCCUUCCAACAUAUAUAUCCAAUGCCGAGAUGUGAAUUACUUCAUAACAAAAAUUUACUCUCAGCGGCAUACAGUAGCAAUAGCCAUAUGACAGACAUUUUCUACAAAGAUGCAAGCAUAUCGUUAAUCAACAAUUCAAAAAUAUGCGGUGGCAACUUAGAACUACGAUGUACAUUGAUGACUUUAAAGAUGCAUGUUGGCAGUACGCAUGUCUUACCAGCCUGUAACGAAAAAUAUUUCGAAAUUACUACUACGAGUAAAAUGCAUAGAGGUGUACUUGUUCCUUUGUGUAUUGCUGUUUCUGGCUUUGUAACUACAUGUAUUGUAUCAGCUGUGUGUUUGAUUCGUGGUAAAAGAAAAGCAUGGCUUAAACUGGACCAUAAAGAACACAAUCAGCUGCAGAUCCUGUUGAAUUCACCACCACUGUAACAACUACAUCUACUUGAAGGAUCUCCAGAAUGAGUUUUCUUACAUCGAUAACCUAAUCUAAUCUAAUAUCUAUAAUGAACACAAUCUUUAUUUUAGCAUACUUCAGAAUAAAAAUGCUCUUGUUCCUGUCUUUUCUCUCUUUUUAUGAAAGAAAAAAACUAACGUAU